rnacentral:rRNA from 1 species
UACGUAGGUGGCGAGCGUUGUCCGGAAUUACUGGGCGUAAAGGGCGUGUAGGCGGCUUUUUAAGUCAGAUGUGAAAACCCUGGGCUUAACCCAGGAACUGCAUUUGAAACUGGAAGGCUUGAGGACCGGAGAGGGCAGUGGAAUUCCCAGUGUAGCGGUGAAAUGCGUAGAUAUUGGGAGGAACACCAGUGGCGAAGGCGACUGCCUGGACGGCACCUGACGCUGAGGCGCGAAAGCUAGGGGAGCAAACGGG